rnacentral:rRNA from 1 species
CAGGUAGGUGGUCUGAUUUGUCUGGGGUGAAAGCCUUGAGCUUAACUCAAGAAGUGCCUUAGAAACGGUCAGACUAGAGUCUUGGAGAGGGUCGUGGAAUUCCCGGUGUAGCGGUGAAAUGCGUAGAGAUCGGGAGGAACACCAGAGGCGAAGGCGGCGACCUGGACAAGCACUGACACUCAACUGCGAAAGCGUGGGUAGCAAACAGGAUUAGAUACCCUGGUAGUCCACGCUGUAAACGAUGGGUACUAGGUUUAGUGGGUCUUGACCCCCGCUGAACCGGAGCUAACGCAAUAAGUACCCCGCCUGGGAAGUACGGUCGCAAGACUAAA